rnacentral:misc_RNA from 1 species
AAAGGGUUUCAUCCUACAACAACUCAGCUUUUAAAGCACCCUUUGGCUAUGGUUGCUUUGAUUCCCAGAGAAGCUGCAUUGUUUGCUGCAGGUGCUAUUGCUGGUGCCGCUGCAAAAUCUGUUACUGCACCUCUUGACCGUAUCAAGCUCCUCAUGCAGACACAUGGACUAAGAGCUGGGCAAGAAGCUGCAAAGAAAGGA